AACUAUUAUUUAGUUCGGUUAAGAAAAAUUAGACUUAUUAAUUUUUGCUUAUUUUUAACGUUUUUCCCAUCACUAUCCUCUUUUCCAUUUUGUUGUACAACAUGAAUCACACACUGCCUUACCCUACGAAAAUGAAAACCCAAUCUACGGUGACGCUACCCUGGUCCUGCCGUGACGCGGCCGCUGCUCACCGUGACUCUGACAUUUGUGGCCUAAGCGAGGUUGGGGUUGAGGGAGGAGGCUAGUCGUCGAGGGUCCCUGCCACAUUUGCUAUUGCUCCAAUCGUCCUUGUCGUGGUUGUUGCCGUAUCGUUUGUCGAGGGAAUCUGCUGUUCGCUGCCGCACCGACCGUCAAGGGAACAAAUCGUGUUAAAGCCAUAGUUCUAAAUGAAAAGGAAGCUAUUUCAGAAUGUAGCAUUGAUGGAUUGUCAAAAAUGAACAACCUUAGAUUACUCAUUAUAUCAUAAAGCUUUUCGGGAAGCCUUAAUUUUCUUUCUCAGAAGCUGCAUAUCUUUUGUGGCAUGAUUAUCCUUUUUGUUCUUUGCCAUCAAGUUUUGUAGCCUAUGGCCUUGUGGAAUUGAACAUGCCUAAUAGUAGCAUCAACUGUUUAUGGGAAGACCGCAAGAUUUGAGGGAGCCUUUCAAUCUUCAGAAGGGUUGGCUUUUAUGGGCUGGAGUUGGACUUGUUGGUUCCAUAAUUGCCACUUCAUUGACUGGAGUUGUUGUGUCUUCCUUCAGUGGAGAAGCCCCACAAAGAGAGGUUUAUACUCUAUUUUUCAAAUUUUACUGGCAGAUGCAGAUGUAGUUAUUGGUUUCUACUUGUUAAACUAUUUUCUUUGUAGCAUGGGAGGAGGCAAUUUAGGGUCACUGAUUUUCAAAUAGCAUUAGUAUUGAAACACUGAUCUUCGAAUUACAUCACAGCUGUUUAUAGUAUGAUGUUGACUAGCCAUCAUGGUCUGGAUCAUCAUAGCUAACUAGGCAACUCUGAUUAUCUUCCUUAUGUACCUUAGCAAAACUAAUCUUUCUUGAUAAGAUUCUUACUUUGUUCUGUUAAUGUUGUUUGUCUUAUAUCAUAGUGUUUAAUAAAACCAUGUGGGUA